rnacentral:rRNA from 1 species
UACGUAGGGGGCAAGCGUUGUCCGGAUUUAUUGGGCGUAAAGAGCGUGUAGGCGGCCAAACAGGUCAGCUGUGAAAACUCGAGGCUCAACCUCGAGACGUCGGUUGAAACCGUUUGGCUAGAGUCCGGAAGAGGAGAGUGGAAUUCCCGGUGUAGCGGUGAAAUGCGCAGAUAUCGGGAAGAACACCCGUGGCGAAAGCGGCUCACUGGACCACAACUGACGCUGAGGCGCGAAAGCUAGGGGAGCAAACGGG